GGUAUGUACUGGCUUCGCUGAUUCCUCCUUUCUGAAGAACUGUAAUGUCAUUAAUUUGGUGUUGCAGGGAAACAGGACUGUUACUUUGAAAAAAUUAGAGUGUUUAAAGCAGGCUAACGCUUGAAUACAUUAGCAUGGAAUAAUGAAAUAGGACGUUCGAUCCUAUUUUGUUGGUUUCUAGGAUUGACGUAAUGAUUAAUAGGGAUAGUUGGGGGCAUUAGUAUUCAAUUGUCAGAGGUGAAAUUCUUGGAUUUAUUGAAGACUAACUACUGCGAAAGCAUUUGCCAAGGAUGUUUUCAUUAAUCAAGUACGAAAGUUAGGGGAUCGAAGACGAUCAGAUACCGUCGUAGUCUUAACCAUAAACUAUGCCGACUAGGGAUCGGAUGAUGUUAAUUUUUUAAUGACUCAUUCGGCGCCUUACG
rnacentral:rRNA from 1 species